AUUGAACGCUGGCGGCAUGCCUUACACAUGCAAGUCGAACGGCAGCACGGGAGCUUGCUCCUGGUGGCGAGUGGCGAACGGGUGAGUAAUACAUCGGAAUGUACCCAGUAGUGGGGGAUAACUAGUCGAAAGAUUAGCUAAUACCGCAUACGCACUAUGGUGGAAAGCGGGGGAGUCGCAAGACCUCGCGCUAUUGGAGCAGCCGAUGUCCGAUUAGGUAGUUGGUGGGGUAAAGCCUACCAAGCCUGCGAUCGGUAACUGGUCUGAGAGGACGACCAGCCACACUGGGACUGAGACACGGCCCAGACUCCUACGGGAGGCAGCAGUGGGGGAAUUUUGGACAAUGGGGGGAAACCCGUGAUCCAGCAAUGCCGCGUGUGUGACGAAGGCCUCGG
rnacentral:rRNA from 1 species